CCCAGAUCCUUCUCUACCAGUGACUCUGCCAGUUUAAUCCCCCCUAAAACAUACGACGCAUGCAGGUUAUUAGUACCCAGAUGCAUAACUUUACAUUUAUCCACAUUGAACCACAUUGAACUAUAAUGAUCCAAGAAUUGGGAAUACACAUUGGUGCAAGUGCCAAAAUUGCAAAAUUAUGCCAACAAGAGAUGAGAGCAUCUGCUGCCAGGAGGAGGAUAUUCUUAAUCCCCACUUUGAUAAAGGACUAACUUGUAUUCUACAACACGAGGAGUUAUCCAUCCACUGAACUUUUUUCUUUAAAUCUCAAGUUGACUAAGUGCCAAAGAAUUGUUAAAAAAUCGCAAUAGGGUUAUUCGCAAGUCCGCUUAUAGAUCCUACUCUUGUUUUGCGCAUGGAAUCCUUGGGCCUAAACGACGAAAGCCAAUACCAUCAUGUGUUGUCAAUUUUAUUAGGUCUGAAUUUCCAGAUCCUGAUGGGCAAUAUAUUGGAUUCCACUGGCCUGAUGAAUACCCAGCAAGUGACAUGGCUGCUGAUGUUUGAUUCACUGUGACACUUACUUUCUGCACUUUUCAUGUUACUACAGUUUUACAUUGCACUUUUAUUGUUUACAAUUUUUUUAUGUUUAUUUAUCUUGUUAUUUAUAUUAUAUUAAUUAGUUAUUUACAUUUUUAUGGUGGUUAUUUUAUUUUGUUUAUUUUAAUCUGUCUACACCAGUCAUUUCCUAAACGUGGUCCCUCGGCACACUGCUAUUCCAUUUGACACUUGCCAUUGUUGGAGUUUAUUUUUCCGUUGAUUUUUUUAUUUCCAGCCCUGGCAUGCUCGCUGAUGACUGACGGCGCAGGGUGGAAGGGAAGCCUGCGUGCGAACUGCGCACAGUGUCCCACUCCCCCUUGCGGCCCAGUGAGGCAAAAAUGGAGCCAUGGUGAAGAAGCUGUAAUACCUACGGUGCCACCGUCACUGCGGUGUCACCCAGGUCACCCUCUACCCACCCCAACUGUCAACCCUCCCCCCCGUCCACACCCGUGUCACCAUGUUCAUCCUCCUGUCCUCACUGUCACACAUGUUCCCCCUCCCCGUCAAUCAUGUCUACCCCCUAUUCACAUCUGUCACCCAUGUACACUCCUCUACACCCCUGUUACCCAAUUACACCCCUCUGUUACCCAUGUACACUCCUCUACACCCCUCUAUAAACCAUGUACACUCCUCUACACCCC